GGAGAAUUAGCUCAGCUGGGAGAGCAUCUGCCUUACAAGCAGAGGGUCGGCGCGGCGGUUCGAACCCGUCAUUCUCCACCA
rnacentral:tRNA from 1 species